AUUUAAAUAGUUUAAAAUAAAACAUUAAUUUUGUAAAUUAAUAAUAAGAAAAUUUCUUUUUAAAUA
rnacentral:tRNA from 1 species